AACGCACAUUGCGCCUAUUAGCAUUCUAGUAGGCAUGCCUGUUCGAGCGUCAUUUCAACCCUUAAGCCCCCGUUGCUUAGCGUUGGGAGUCUACGGGCCGUAGUUCCCUAAAAUCAGUGGCGGAGUCGGUCUCGCACUCCGGACGUAGUAGAUCAUAUCUCGUCCGUGGUUGGGCCGGCGCCCUGCCGUAAAAAGCACCUAUAUUCUUCAAGGUUGACCUCGGAUCAGGUAGGAAUACCCGCUGAACUUAA
rnacentral:misc_RNA from 1 species